rnacentral:rRNA from 1 species
UACGGAGGGGGCUAGCGUUGUUCGGAAUUACUGGGCGUAAAGCGUACGUAGGCGGCUUUGUAAGUUAGAGGUGAAAGCCCGGGGCUCAACCCCGGAAUUGCCUUUAAGACUGCAUCGCUUGAAUCGCGGAGAGGUGAGUGGAAUUCCGAGUGUAGAGGUGAAAUUCGUAGAUAUUCGCAAGAACACCAGUGGCGAAGGCGGCUCACUGGCCCGAUACUGACGCUGAGGCACGAAAGCGUGGGGAGCAAACAGG